CCUACGGGUGGCAGCAGUCGAGAAUCAUUCACAAUGGGGGCAACCCUGAUGGUGCGACGCCGCGUGGGGGAAUGAAGGUCUUCGGAUUGUAAACCCCUGUCAUGUGGGAGCAAAUUAAAAAGAUAGUACCACAAGAGGAAGAGACGGCUAACUCUGUGCCAGCAGCAGCGGUAAUACAGAGGUCUCAAGCGUUGUUCGGAAUCACUGGGCGUAAAGGGUGCGUAGGCGGUUUCGUAAGUCGUGUGUGAAAGGCGCGGGCUCAACCCGCGGACGGCACAUGAUACUGCGAGACUAGAGUAAUGGAGGGGGAACCGGAAUGCUCGGUGUAGCAGUGAAAUGCGUAGAUAUCGAGAGGAACACUCGUGGCGAAGGCGGGUUCCUGGACAUUAACUGACGCUGAGGCACGAAGGCCAGGGGAGCGAAAGGGAUUAGAUACCCGAGUAGUC
rnacentral:rRNA from 1 species